UACAGAGGGGGCAAGCGUUGUUCGGAAUUACUGGGCGUAAAGGGCGCGUAGGCGGCCGAGCAAGUCUGGCGUGAAAUGUACCGGUUCAACCGGGGCGCUGUGUCAGAAACUGCACGGCUUGAGGUCGAGGGAGGAAGGUGGAAUUCCUGGUGUAGCGGUGAAAUGCGUAGAGAUGUGGAGGAACACCGAUGGCGAAGGCAGCCUCCUGGGCCAGCGCUGACGCUCAUGCACGAAAGCGU
rnacentral:rRNA from 1 species